AAGCAAUCAUUUUAUAAGACAUUUCCAUCCUUACAUUCCAUCUAUUCCCUUUUGAAUAGUUCUGAAAAAGUAAUCAAUAAAAGAGGAAGAAAAAAAAAAUUCUAAAAGCAUCCGACUGAGAAAUCACAAUGUUUACUUUAUUCAAUCUCGUGGACAGUUGACUCUGCAAGUAGUUUUUAGAAUUCAAUUAUAAUGCCCAAAGCUGUCAAACACCUCGAGUCAUUACAUACUUAACCCACCAAAAAUCAUAAGGGUAUUGCCACAACCAAUCAGAAC
rnacentral:misc_RNA from 1 species